UUCCUUAUAGCUUAGCUGGUAAAGAAUCUGCCUGCAGUGCAGGAGACCUGGGUUCAGUUCCUGGGAUGGGAA
rfam:TPA: Bos taurus chromosome 23, whole genome shotgun sequence.